CUUAAAAGUCAGCCGGAUUAACACUACCAACAACUUUUUACCCCAAACUAAACCAUUCGCCACAUCAAGUAUCAGAGACAGAAAAAUACCCCCCGCGCGCCAGCUAAAAGUACCAUAUGGGAACACUGAAAGAGAACUAAACACCCAAGCAUAAAACAGCAGGGCUUCUACCCCGUACCUCUUGCAUCAUGGUUUAACAAGCACCCACAGAUAAAGCGCACUUUAACCUGCCCCCCCGAACCCAGACGAUCUACCCCAGAGCAAUCAACCAGGAUGCACCCCCCUCUGUGGCAAAAGAGCGGGAAGACUUUGCGGUAGCGGUGAAACGCCAAUCGAGCCUGGUGAUAGCUGGUUGCUCGAUAAACGAAUCUAAGUUCAACUCUAGCCAAAACCCCUCCGACCACUUACACCCAUGUAGUACCUAGAAGUUAUACAAUUAGGGGACAGCCUAAUUGUAAUCGGAUACAGCCCCAAAUGGAGGAACAGGACCCCGCCCGUUCUACCCCGUAGGCCCUUAAGCAGCCACCAAACAACAUCGCGUCAAAGCAGCACACACAAAAACCCCACCACUCAUCCCCACCCCCCACACACAACCGAGCCACCCUAGUUAAAACUAGGGGUAACACUGUUAAAACUAGUAAUUAAGAGCCACCUCUCUAUUGCACAUCCCUACACCGGCACGGACUAACCACCGGUAAUUACCAACUAAAACAACUCACACCACAUGUCACCCCGACACAGGAGUGCAAUAAAGAACAGGCAGACCGUCACAGAAGGAACUCGGCUAACAUGCCCCACCUGUUUACCAAAAACAUCGCCUUUAGCCAAACAAGUAUUAAAGGUAUCGCCUGCCCAGUGAGCCCCCUUAAACGGCCGCGGUACUCUAACCGUGCAAAGGUAGCGUAAUCACUUGCCCCCUAAAUAGGGGCUAGUAUGAAUGGCUAAAUGAGGGCCUAACUGUCUCCUGCGACAAGCCAAUGAAACUGUUCUCUCAGUACAAAAGCUGAGAUAGACCCAUAAGACGAGAAGACCCUGUGGAGCUUUUAAACACCACACUAACCCCAUCCAACCACCCAUAGUGCUAAUUUUUAGUUGGGGCGACUACGGAGAAAACCCAAACCUCCAUGAAACAGGACCUACACCACCCAAGGCCCACAAGCCCAAGGUACCCACAACCCCUUGACCCAGCACCACUGAACAACGAACCAAGUUACCCCAGGGAUAACAGCGCAAUCUUCCCCAAGAGUCCAUAUCGCCAGGAGGGUUUACGACCUCGAUGUUGGAUCAGGACACCCCGGCGGUGCAGCCGC
rnacentral:rRNA from 1 species